UGACAGGGUGCCUAUGUGCCACAUGGUAGGCGCUUAAUAGAUGUUUAUUAACAGAUUUGGUUGGAGUUCUAGAAAAGAAGGGUUCUUGAUGGGCAGCUAGAAAAGCCUCUUGGAGUCUCCCUCCCAUCCCCCUAAAAAAGGUACCAUUCAAGAUUGAGGAGAGCAGGUGUUGCCAUGGUUUUACAGUCCAGCAUCCUCCUCACAGAGCUACUUUCCCAGCAACAACCCUAAAAGAUGGUAAAAGGAUCAUUAACAACAUUUAACCAAUGAAGACACUGAAACUUAGAAAGGUUUAGGUGUAGUGAUCUCCACCAGAGAAGAGUUUGAGCCAUGGCCACCCUUGAGUCCAGAUUGCAGAUAUAGUCCCUGAUCUGGAGUGAUGACCUGAGAUCCAACCUCCUUUUCCAUUAUCUGCAGAUGUGAAUUCUAUUGGCAUGCCCAAAGAAUUGGUGAGACCCCUGGGAUGAUACUCUGGGUGAUGGUUCCUGUAUGAAUACUUAUCCAAUUUUCUUUGUUUUAUAAAUUAUGUAGCCAUAGUUUGUCAAGUAUUUAAAUUCUAUGACAAUAGGUAGUCAAUGGGGAGGGAAUGAUGGCAAGAAGAGAAUGAUGACAGAAGCAACAAUUCAGAUGUGACACAGAAGAUCUGGAGUAGUAGACCUCAAAUUUUUUAUAUUUUGAGCAACAUCUGAUAUCAUCUCUCCCAGCUAAAUUUUUAACCUUGGAUUUAAACUGCUUAGGGCAGCCAUUUUUCAAGCCAUAUAUUGUUGUAGUAGUAAAGUAAUUGAAAGGACAUGAGAUUUGUAAGGGGGUAGACUAUCCUGCCAGCCAUGCCAAAUGUGCUGGUUAUGCCAAUUAUAGGGUGGCAUACCCUCCAAGAAUACUUGAGAUACCAAAGAAAGAGGGAUUUAUGUCCACUUAGUCAUUAAUAGGUUUUGCUAGAGUUAAUUAGUUUAAUUGGAGGAAUUUUCACAGAAGAGGUCCAAGAAAUAUUGAGGAUUCCCACACCAACUCCAACCUAGAUCAAAUAUUAUGUAGAAGCAAAACAAAGAAGAUCUAGAGCCAGGGAUGGCCCAGGGUCACAUGUAAGUUUUCCCUUCAGAUAGUUGGGGUUUC